rnacentral:rRNA from 1 species
UACGAAGGGGGCUAGCGUUGCUCGGAAUCACUGGGCGUAAAGGGCGCGUAGGCGGAUCUUUAAGUCGGGGGUGAAAGCCCAGGGCUCAACCCUGGAAUUGCCUUCGAUACUGAAGAUCUCAAGACCGGAAGAGGUAAGUGGAACUGCGAGUGUAGAGGUGAAAUUCGUAGAUAUUCGCAAGAACACCAGUGGCGAAGGCGGCUUACUGGUCCGGCUCUGACGCUGAGGCGCGAAAGCGUGGGGAGCAAACAGG